rnacentral:tRNA from 1 species
GGGGCUAUAGCUCAGCUGGGAGAGCGCUUGCAUGGCAUGCAAGAGGCCAGGGGUUCAAUUCCCCUUAGCUCCA